AAUGUGAGCAUCACACCUAAGGUACUGAAGUAGAGUUCUGGCUGUUCCUUACGGACAUCUCUGGUGGAUCUGAAAAUAUCAUUUUCAUCAAGCCUCAAGGACACUUUUUUUCCUGUGAUGUCUCUUUCGAAAUCUAAAUCCUCUGGACAUAUAGCGAAGCAAAAUUCUCUUUUAGGUAUGAUACACAACACAAGUAUAAGGAUAUAGUCAAUAAUAACUCUGGGAGUAAGAACACAUUAUGAACAGUGAAGACAUUGACAAACCUCCGGGACCUUUGAUUUGUGCUAUAAAGUAUACUAUGAUCAGCCCUGAUUAACCCAAGAGAAAAUUCAGUGUGAAGAUGAUGGAGUGACACAAUAGAAGGAACCUGAAUCACUGAAUCAUCACUUGGAAGAAAGCAGCCCAGACUAGUUACCCAACUCCCAUCAGACAGUGACCAGAGUGAGAA
rnacentral:lncRNA from 1 species